UGAUGCAGCCAUGCCGCGUGUAUGAAGAAGGCCUUCGGGUUGUAAAGUACUUUCAGUUGUGAGGAAGGGGGUGUCGUUAAUAGCGGCAUCUCUUGACGUUAGCAACAGAAGAAGCACCGGCUAACUCCGUGCCAGCAGCCGCGGUAAUACGGAGGGUGCGAGCGUUAAUCGGAAUUACUGGGCGUAAAGCGCAUGCAGGUGGUUCAUUAAGUCAGAUGUGAAAGCCCGGGGCUCAACCUCGGAACUGCAUUUGAAACUGGUGAACUAGAGUACUGUAGAGGGGGGUAGAAUUUCAGGUGUAGCGGUGAAAUGCGUAGAGAUCUGAAGGAAUACCAGUGGCGAAGGCGGCCCCCUGGACAGAUACUGACACUCAGAUGCGAAAGCGUGGGGAGCAAACAGGAUUAGAUACCCUGGUAGUCCACGCCGUAAACGAUGUCUACUUGGAGGUUGUGGCCUUGAGCCGUGGCUUUCGGAGCUAACGCGUUAAGUAGACCGCCUGGGGAGUACGGUCGCAAGAUUAAAACUCAAAUGAAUUGACGGGGGCCCGCACAAGCGGUGGAGCAUGUGGUUUAAUUCGAUGCAACGCGAAGAACCUUACCUACUCUUGACAUCCAGAGAAGCCAGCGGAGACGCAGGUGUGCCUUCGGGAGCUCUGAGACAGGUGCUGCAUGGCUGUCGUCAGCUCGUGUUGUGAAAUGUUGGGUUAAGUCCCGCAACGAGCGCAACCCUUAUCCUUGUUUGCCAGCGAGUAAUGUCGGGAACUCCAGGGAGACUGCCGGUGAUAAACCGGAGGAAGGUGGGGACGACGUCAAGUCAUCAUGGCCCUUACGAGUAGGGCUACACACGUGCUACAAUGGCGCAUACAGAGGGCAGCCAACUUGCGAGAGUGAGCGAAUCCCAAAAAGUGCGUCGUAGUCCGGAUUGGAGUCUGCAACUCGACUCCAUGAAGUCGGAAUCGCUAGUAAUCGUAGAUCAGAAUGCUACGGUGAAUACGUUCCCGGGCCUUGUACACACCGCCCGUCCCCCCUGGGGAGUGGGCUGCAAAAGAAGUGGGUAGUUUACCUUUCGGGGGAGACCUUCCACUUUGGGGU
rnacentral:rRNA from 1 species